UGGAGGAGUUCCCAUUGUGGCUCUGCAGAUUAAGGACCCAACGUUGUCUCUGUGAGGAUGAGGUUCAAUCCCUGGCCUUGCUCAGUAGGUUAAGGAUCCAGCACUACUGCAAGCUGUAGCAUAAGUGGAAGUCGUGGCUUGGAUCUGAUGUUGCCGUGGGUGUGACAUAGGUGCAGAUGAAGCUAUAAAAGAAAAAAAAAUAUGGAGUAGAUAGGAACAGGAUUGAGGGGAGCUUUUUUACUACAUACCUUUUGGUGUCGCUGGGAUUUUUGAACUCUGUCAACAGAGGAUAGGAAAAUUUCCCUAUCUAAAUGAUACUCUAGUACCAAAACAAUGUAAUAUAUAGAUCACUGGCUUCACAGGCAAGUUCUAUACAAUAAAUUUAGUUGUGACAUUUAUCCUAGCUUGAUUAUUGUGAAAGAGAAGUCUGUUCUAUAUGCUUAACUAUUUUUUUAAAUUCCACUGGCUAUCCUUGUUAGUUAUGUAACUUUUCUAAACCAUGGAAACUUUUCACUUCCUUUAUUCUUUGGAUAUUUUUAUAAAAACUAUGGAAGUAUUUCAUCUUCAGUGGAAUUUAGGUUUAUGUGUAUUUUUAUAAUAAGUCUGCCCUUGAAUAUCAGAAAAGCGAAGGAAUUGAGAAUGAAUAGGGGAGCAGGGCCCUUAUCCCAGAAAAAUCCUUGUCAACAGCAGCCGUUCAAACAGAACCAGCCUGGGCAACUUCAACCAGCACCAGGCCUUAUUUUUGAAAUCUAAGAUUAUAGUUUUAAGACCAAAAAGUACAUUCUAGCCUAGAAAUGGAACUAAUAAAUAACAAGGACAUGAACAGAAUUCACCCAAGGUGAAAUACAAUUCUUUUUUUUUUUUUUUUUUUUUUUUUUUUGUCUUUUUGCCAUCUCUUGGGCUGUUCCUAGGCACAUGGAGUUUCCCAGGCCAGGGGUUGAAUCGGAGCUGUAGCCACUGGCCUACACCAGAGCCACAGCAAUGCAGGAUCCGAGGCAUCUGCGAUCUACACCACAGCUCACGGCAAUGCUGGAUCCCUAACCCACUGAGUAAGGCCAGGGAUUGAACCUGCAACCCCAUGAUUCCCAGUUGGACUUGUCAACCACUGUGCCACAACAGGAACUCCAAGGUGAAAUAUAAUUCUUAAAUGAAUGAAUCUGAAGUGGUUAAAUCAUGAAUCAUAAAAAAUAUUCAUUUAAAGAGAAUUUUUGAGGACUGUUAAUUUAUCUUGAAUCAGCCCCAAACUCUCAGAAAUGCUUCUAAUUUCACUGAAUGAAGGAAUAAAAGUGAAGUAUCAAACUGAAGGAGCAAUAAGACGAACAAAGUUUGAUAACCCAGUAUUGUGGAAGACAACUUUCCAUGUGUCUCUCGGGUCUCUGCAUCUCCUAUAUCAAGACCCUGACUACCCUUUUCCAGGCUAUUUUUUCAAGGAUGUUUGAAUGGCUAAUAUCCUUGGAAGGUAGCGUCAAUGUCUCUCCAAAGAAUGGGACAAGUAGAAUUCCAGCUUCACUCAAGUGGGAGGGAGCUCUCUAAUUAUAGGCAAGUCCAGUGAUAGCCUUGCUUCUGCCUGAAGUUUGCCCUUGAACUAGAUUUCCUCCCAUAGACAAGUCAAGGUCCAUCCCAGUUUCUGUUUCAUGGUAAGAUCCUUGGCUAUCCUGUGCUCCUCUUUUCAUCAAGACAGCUCUGCUCUCAAAAGGCUCUGCUUUGUGCAGAGAACUUUCCUCCCCUUAGACAUGACUAGAGCAACAAAGAUACUGUUGCAUACACAUGCCUCUUUUAAUUUUUUUUUUUUUUUACUUUUUAUUGACCUGUAGUUGAUUAACAAUAUUGUGCUAGUUUCUUGGAGUUCCUAUUGUGGCUCAGUGGUUAAUGAAUCUGAUUAGGAACCAUGAGGUUGUGGGUUCGAUCCCUGGCCUUGCUCAGUGGGUUAAGGAUCUGGCAUUGCCAUGAACUGUGGUGUAGGUCACAGAUGCAGUUCGGAUCCCGCGUUGCUGUGGCUCUGGUAUAGGCAGGCAGCUAUAGGUCUGAUUAGACCCCCUAGCCUGGGAACCUCCAUAUCCCACAGGGGCGGCCCUAGAAAAAACAAAAAGACAAAAAAAAUGUUGUUUUAGUUUCAGGUGUACAGCAAAAUGAAUUGGUUAUACAUAUAUGCAUAUAUAUUCUUUUUCAGAUUCUUCUCCUGCACAGGUUUUUACAGAAUCUUGAGUAGAGUUUCCUGUGCUGUAUAGUAGGUCCUUGUUGAUUAUCUAUUUUAUAUAGUGUAGUGUGUUUAUGUUAAUCCCAAACUCCUAAUCUAUCCCUGCCCCUAACCUUUUCCCUUUGGUAACUGUAAAUAAGUUUUCUAUGUCUGCGCGACUGUUUCUGUCUGGUAAAUGAGUUCAUUUGUAUCAUUUCUGAAAUUACAUUGGGAGGAGCCUGCUCUUUCCUGUCAGAUACCAGGACACAGUUGCACACAGGGGGCUCUGCUGAUGCCAUGCAUGGGCAGGACAGCUCUUCAUCCUGGUGCAGGGGGCGAGGGGAGUUAUCUCAAUUCUGCAUUAGCUCUGGGAUGCUCUCCUGGUUUGGGUCUCUUUGAUCAGUAGAAUCUAAAUUGUCCUGGCUGUUCCAUGAAGCCUGAAAUUUAGGAACCCAGGGUUUCCUGUGUUCAUCAAUGCUCCUGCUGUCCUCCACGUGGGCAUCCAACAAUCAGGGAAACUGUCAAAUCCUAGCAGGCACUGUGGGAAGAGGGACACAGAGACACUGGAAGCAAAGCUAUGCAAAACAGGAGAUCUCUUCAAAGGUUUGUCUGGUGGCUGGCUGUUCAGCUGUACCUCCAAUGAGAGCUUGAACUUUCAGCAAGAUAUUCUGUAAGAGAUGGCUUUGCUUGAUCUCCAGGGGAGAAGGAAACAUUCUUUGAACUCCUGAGUCACUAGACUAUUCUGAUUUCCAUUUAGUAUUUGGGGAGUUUCCUGGUUCACUGCCUCUCAGGAUGUUCCUCAUUGUGGUUGAGGACCUGGGAACUCAUCAGCCUUGACUAUGUCCCUUUGACCCUUGAAUUCUUAGUUUCAUCUCUCACAUCCUUAUCCUCUGGGAACAUUGCUAUUCUAUUGUCAGAUUCUCCUGGGAUAUAACUGAUUCUCAUCCUUUGGCUCAUUUCCUGUUACUGCUUGACUUGUGAGAAGCUCUGAACUGCCUCUGUUGCCUGCCCCCCAACAUAGUCCCACUGUGUCGCAUUUUGGCAACAAUGAUAGAUAUGAGCACAUUAAAAGUCUGCUUUCCUCUUUCUGAGAGUGCUCUGUGAAUCCAGGGCCUGCAUCAAAGAAGGAUGGUUUCAGGGCUCUCUGCCCUUCCUCUCUCACAGAUGAGGGGGACCUUAGAGGACUAUCCAAGGCAGGAAUUUCAUUUUUGUGUGAGUGUGAUCACCAGUCUUCCCGACCUGCUUCCGGGUUUCUUUCAAGGAGCUUGGUAACUCAGCUAUGGGCUCAACCUUGAGAGACAGUGACUGAGGAUAGAGUGGCCCAGUAGGGAAGGUGCUAUGAUUGGGCUGCUUUUGCCAGAAAGUUUAUGAAUACACAUCCCUUUUAUAAGGACACUUGUAAUAGAAUCUGGCAAUCACCAGGAUAAUUCAGGAUAAUCUCAUCUUGAGAUGCUUAACUUAGUCGUAUCAGCAAAGUAUUUUUGUUUUCUGUUACAUAAGAAAACAGUCCCAGCUUCCAGGAAUUUGGACCUGGUUAUAUUUGGCAGAAUUAUUAUGCAGACUACUCUACAUGUAAUUGGCAAUUUAAAUUACAGAGCCAGAGCUCCCAUCAUGACUUUUAUUAACAAACCCAACUAGUAUCCAUGAAGAUGUGGGUUCAAUCUCUGGCCUUGUUCAGUGGAUUAAGGAUCCAGCAUUGCUAUGAGCUGUGGUAUAGGUUGCAGAUGCCACUUGGAUCCCGUAUUUCUGUGGCUGUGGUGUAGGCUAGCAGUUACAGCUCUGAUUCAGCCCUUAGCCUUGGAACCUCCAUAUGCUGUGGGUACAGCCAAAAAGACAAAAGAUAAAAAUAAAUAAAUAAAUAAAUUAAUUAAUUACAGAGCCUGGGAGUUCUGCUAUGGCACAGUGGUAACAAAAUUGACUAGGAUCCAUGAGGAUGCAGGUUUGAUCCCUGGCCUCACUCAGUGGGUUAAGGAUCUGGGGUUAGGUCACAGAUGUGGCUUGGAUCCUGCGUCCAUAGUGUUGGCCAGCAGCUGUAGCUCUAAUUGGAGUUCCUAACCUGGGAACUUCCAUAUGCCAUGGGUGUGGCCCUAAAAAGACAAAAACAAUAAAAAUUACAGAGCUUCAUGGGUCAGUCUUGAGGCUCUGGGCCAGUAGGUAAGAAAUGGACAGUGAGUGAGGCUGAAGUGGACAUCUUUGUUUUUAUUUGGUCAGUCAGAUUUUAUUCACCCUUCUGGAGGAGUCUCUGUAUUUUCCUCUUCAGUCUUGGCUUAUGUGCAGGUGAAGUUGGAGUUCCCAAGCAUCCCUACACUAAAGGUAUCCAGGUGACUCAGUUCUGGCGAAAGGAACAUUGCAUUAACCCAUUCAUAGUGAUUGGUUCAGUGACCCAACUGACGCCAGUAAGUCUUUUGCAAAACAUAUUGUGAGACAGAUGCCUCAUUUUCAGCUGCAUUUGGAUCUGGUGGAAUACAGCCCUGAUCUUGUCAGCUGCAUCCUGCCAGCACAUAACACCCGAGAAUACAGUCAGAACAGAAGGCAGAGAAUAUAGAAGUAGAGAGCAACUCAUUUCUGAUGCCAUCAGUUCAAUUCCUCAGCUAGAGGUCAGCUUUGCCCCCAGACUUUUGGUUAUAUCAGUCAAUGAAUUCCCUUUUUGGUUUAAGCUUUGUUUUCAGUAUUUAGUGAGAGUUUAUUGUGCAUGUAAUGACACUUGUCAAACUGGGAGCUCUUAAAGCCAAAGCUGCUAUUCAGCUCAGGGACAUGACAUUACAGGAUAGCUUAUGAAGUGAAAAUAAGGAAGUUGUUUCACUUUAUUAUGCUUUGGUUAUUACACUGGGGGUUUCCAGAUGGAAGGGAUUGGUUAAAAUUUAUUAAACCAUUUUUAGGAAGAUGACUUAAGUUUCUUUUAUGAUUAUAGGAGUCAUUUACAAGGAGUAGACUAAGAAACGGGCCCAAGUUAUGUUU
rnacentral:lncRNA from 1 species